ACAAGCGGUGGAGCAUGUGGUUUAAUUCGAUGCUACGCGAAGAACCUUACCAGGUCUUGACAUCUUCUGCCAACCUAAGAGAUUAGGCGUUCCCUUCGGGGACAGAAUGACAGGUGGUGCAUGGUUGUCGUCAGCUCGUGUCGUGAGAUGUUGGGUUAAGUCCCGCAACGAGCGCAACCCUUAUUGUUAGUUGCCAGCAUUCAGUUGGGCACUCUAGCAAGACUGCCGGUGACAAACCGGAGGAAGGUGGGGAUGACGUCAAAUCAUCAUGCCCCUUAUGACCUGGGCUA
rnacentral:rRNA from 1 species